UACGGGGGGGGCAAGCGUUGUUCGGAAUUACUGGGCGUAAAGGGCGCGUAGGCGGCCUGCUAAGUCGAACGUGAAAUCCCCGGGCUCAACCCGGGAACUGCGUCCGAUACUGGCAGGCUUGAAUCCGGGAGAGGGAUGCGGAAUUCCAGGUGUAGCGGUGAAAUGCGUAGAUAUCUGGAGGAACACCGAUGGCGAAGGCAGGUCUCUGGGCAUUAACUGACGCUGAGGAGCGAAAGCAUGGGGAGCGAACAGG
rnacentral:rRNA from 1 species